AGGACGAACGCUGGCGGCGUGCCUAACACAUGCAAGUCGAACGGGACCAGGGGCAACUCUGGUUCAGUGGCGGACGGGUGCGUAACACGUGAGGAACAUGACCUUCGGCGGGGGAUAGCCGGCCCAACGGCCGGGUAAUACCGCGUACGACCACAUGGGGACAUCCCUGAGUGGUGAAAGCAGCAAUGCGCCGAUGGAGUGCCUCGCGGCCUAUCAGCUAGUUGGUGAGGUAACGGCUCACCAAGGCAACGACGGGUAGC
rnacentral:rRNA from 1 species